CCUACGGGAGGCAGCAGUGGGGAAUAUUGGACAAUGGGGGCAACCCUGAUCCAGCCAUGCCGCGUGUGUGAAGAAGGCCCUCGGGUUGUAAAGCACUUUCAGUGAGGAAGAACGCCUGGUGGUUAAUACCCAUCAGGAAAGACAUCACUCACAGAAGAAGCACCGGCUAACUCCGUGCCAGCAGCCGCGGUAAUACGGAGGGUGCGAGCGUUAAUCGGCAUUACUGGGCGUAAAGCGCGCGUAGGUGGCUUGAUAAGCCGGUUGUGAAAGCCCCGGGCUCAACCUGGGAACGGCAUCCGGAACUGUCAAGCUAGAGUGCAGGAGAGGAAGGUAGAAUUCCCGGUGUAGAGGUGAAAUGCGUAGAGAUCGGGAGGAAUACCAGUGGCGAAGGCGGCCUUCUGGACUGACACUGACACUGAGGUGCGAAAGCGUGGGUAGCAAACAGGAUUAGAUACCCCUGUAGUC
rnacentral:rRNA from 1 species